GACGAACGCUGGCGGCGUGCUUAACACAUGCAAGUCGAACGGAAAGGCCCUGCUUUUGUUGGGUGCUCGAGUGGCGAACGGGUGAGUAACACGUGAGUAACCUGCCCUUGACUUUGGGAUUACUUCAGGAAACUGGGGCUAAUACCGGCUCCGAGCUCCUGCUGCCUGGUGGGGGUUGGAACGUUUCGGCGGUUGGGGAUGGACUCGCGGCUUAUCAGCUUGUUGGUGGGGUAGUGGCUUACCAAGGCUUUGACGGGUAGCCGGCCUGAGAGGGUGACCGGCGACAUUGGGACUGAGAGACGGCCCAGACUCCUACGGGAGGCAGCAGUGGGGAAUAUUGCACAAUGGGCGGAAGCCUGAGGCAGCAACGCCGCGUUCGGGAUGACGGCCUUCGAGGUGUAAACCGCUUUCGCCUGUGACGAAGCGUGAGUGACGGUAAUGGGUAAAGAAGCACCGGCUAACUACGUG
rnacentral:rRNA from 1 species